UCAGUCAACACGCGCUAAUCAGCGCUGAACACUAAAUUCAAAAUUCCAUUGAUUUUAAAUUUUGUUGCCAUUGAAAAAUUAUACCUUCGUCUCUCUCUAUCUCUAUCUCUUUGUGUAUAUAUAAACUCAGCCUGGCUUUGAUGAAACCAUGAAGGUGGAAGUGGACAUAAGCAAUGAAGAGGGUUUGGAAGAAUCAUAAAGUAGUGUUUUCGCUGCUUCUGGUGACUAUACUUUUAUCAAUGGCGACUUCUGGCUCUCUCUUAGCUGAAGCAAAAAUUCCCAACUUCUUAGCUAUCCAAGAAAGCUUGAAGCGUGGCAUACAGCGUCGGAAUCUGAAGCCAUUGCCUCCAGGUGGUGGGACUCCCCCAGCCGGAUACAAAUGAGAAUGAGAUCCGACUCCGGCAACCAAAAUAUAUGGCUUUACCAUUUUAAAUUUUAAUGUUCUAAAAGUGGUGAUAUUAUGAUGAUAAUGAUGAGAGGAUAUCCAAUGAGAAUACCUUGAUGGGGCAUUAUUAUGGGGCACAAUAAAUUUCAUAACAGUUUUUUUUUUAAUUUAAUUUAAUAGUAGCGAAAGUUUGUCAGUUUUGUUUUAUGGAUUUAAUAAUAAAUUUAGUCCUCCAAUGUUUAUAUAUUC